UACGUAGGUGGCAAGCGUUGUCCGGAUUUACUGGGCGUAAAGGGCGUGCAGGCGGUUUGUUAAGUGCAGAGUGAAAGCUCCCGGCUCAACUGGGAGAGGUCUUUGCAUACUGGCAAACUCGAGGGAGGCAGAGGAAAGUGGAAUUCCCGGUGUAGUGGUGAUAUGCGUAGAUAUCGGGAGGAACACCUGUGGCGAAGGCGGCUUUCUGGGCCUUACCUGACGCUGAGACGCGAAAGCGUGGGUAGCGAACAGG
rnacentral:rRNA from 1 species